GACCUCUUAUCCCAAAUGACAGCUGUCCGCAGUAUCCUGGGGAAGAGAUGGAAUGCCUGGGCCACUGCUGCAAACAGAGGCAGACAGUGGCCAUGAGACAGCGGCCCUAUGGAAAGGAGUGAGGGCUGUCCCUGGCUCACAUCACCGGAGAACUGAGCCCUGCAAGCAGCCUUGUGAACACCUGGAAACCCUAAGCCAGAGAACCGAGCCCAGCCACACAACAAAAGCAGGGAGCUGGACUGGAAGCAGAGCAGCUAGGACCGGACUGGCUCUCUGACGUGGGCCUGGGGCAGCUUAACUGGCUGCACACCACCAACAGCCACCACACACAGAAGCUAUGAGACAAUAAAUGUUUUAAGCCACUAAAUUUGUGGGCUACCUGUGACACAGCAAUAGAUUCCUAACA